rnacentral:rRNA from 1 species
CCCCAGCGCCACAAGUGGGGAUCGGUUUUAUUGGGUCUAAAGCGUUCGUAGCAGGUUCUGUAAAUCUCUUGUGAAAGUGUUGCGCUUAACGCACCACAUUGCAGGAAAGACUGCAGAACUCGGAAUUGGGAGGCGUAAACGGUAUUCUCGGGGGAGCGGUAAAAUGUUAUAAUCCCGAGAGGACCACCUGUGCCGAAGGGGGUUUACGAAUACAAAUUCGACUGUGAGGGACGAAAGCUAGGGGA